rnacentral:lncRNA from 1 species
AUACCUCACAUUCCCCAGCACGGUUCCGACAGGCCCAUGAGUGGGGAGUCCUCAUGGCCUGGGAAGGUGGCCGAGAAAGUUUGAACAGCUGCAGAGCCUGCCCGUCCACUCUCUCCAGCCACAUUUGUGUGUGUGUGUGUGUGUGUGUGUGUGUGUUGUGUUUUGACCAACCUCUUAGGCUUAUGUAACACACUUGGAAGUCAAGAAGUAAGGACUCAUUACUGACAGCCUCAGAGAGGCUUGCGAAACACUUGCUGUGAAGAAAUCUUUCCAUUGAGAAAAAGUUCCCUGGUGCUCAUGCUCCCAGUGGCUCAGGCCUGGUCUGCACUCAGCGGCUGCCAGGACCUCCCGGGAGCGCCCACACACCCCACAGCCCGCCUGUCCUGGGAAUACCUCUCCAGGCCCUGAAUACCUGUCCCCCACUCCCUGCCUAGGACAACGGGGGCUGUCAGGGCCAUGGGCAGGCCCACCCCACCAACCAGACCCUACGUGGGCCCCGCCUUGGUCCCGGAGCCAAUGUCUGGCUGAUCAGGGAACAAGAGGAGCCUUCAACACCUCAAUUCUGGGACGGUUGAGGUUUUCACACCGGGCCACACCUGAGCCACUAGGAGCCGGGAGGCUCUGAUCGUCUCUCCGCCUGUCUCUCUCUGGCAUCGCCAGGGCUGACUUCAUUCCACGUCCGCGCGGAAACAGCAGGGCUAUCUCAGUGCAAUCCUGGUUUUGUAUUCAGAGCCUCCUCUGAGUGAGUGCCAGGGCGCACCGUGCAAGGAGCCUGGCUUUGCCCACUGCAAUCCCGUGCCCUCACCCUAGUCUUUUAACCUCUCACGACUCAGGUUCCUCAUCUGUGAAAUGGAGCUGUCUUCUUUGUGGGGUUAGUGGAAGCAAUAAGCGAGAAGUGUGUCCACACAGGCCCAGCCUUUCUGGGGCCUCACUGUGACCAGACACUGCGCUUUGGACUAGGGGAUGGGAUGCGACUUAGGGGAGCUGCGGCCACCUGUCUCUGGAGGCUGAAGUCUCCCUGCGGACCACCCUUCCUCAGGACCACCCUUCCUCACUUGCACGUCUCCCCUGCAGUCAGGACUCGCCUGCCCCCACGCCAGGCUCUCCCUAGUGGAUCAGGCUGUACAACCUGGUUUGUAUGAGGAAAGGCAGCCGCUGGGGCCCCAGUGCAGCAAGAGAGGGGAGGAGGAGGUGUUCAGAGGGAAGACCCCUCCCCACCCCCGUUGGCCCCUUGUCUUCAAAGGAAGGGCGUGACCUUUCUGCCCCCCAGACCCACCCUGAGGGUCACUGUGGCGGUGAAGCCUGGUGCCGGCACUUGUGCCCGCCCUCUGACUUGCAGUGUCCCGAGACAUAUUCAGGGGAGCCAGGUAUUCAAUCAGCAAGGCUCCCAACAAGAUGGGGUGGGUGGGAGAAGCACCCACAAUUCUCUAGAAGGCUUUCAGGGCAUUCUUCACUAAAGAGACACAUUGGAGUCUGGAACCCCUCCCCUAGCAGGGGGACACCUCCAAGCUGUGCUCAAAACUGGGACAGGAUAUUUGGGUUGGAGUGUUCUCCGUCUCUGCCUCUCUGUCUCUCUCUCUCCCUUUCUCUCUGUCUCUCUCUCUCUCUCCCUCUCUCCCUGUCUCUCUCUCUCUCUCUCUCUCUCACUCUCUCUUGCUCUCUCUUUCCUCCUGUCUCUCUAAAGGUCUCCUUUCCUCUAAGGGCAAAGCAGCAGCUGUCAGGUCCUUAGAGCAGGAUCCCUGGUUGGUGCAGGCCCAGGGCCAGCCCCUGGUCCCGGCCUUUCUUCCCCUGGGGGAUGAACAGUGAAUGCAGCCGCCCUGGGAGUUGGGCGACCUGCGGGGCUUGGAGGGAAGGGCAGGAGGGCCCAGGGCUGACACAGCACGCCUGGCUGGGGUGGGGGCAGUGGUGUGGGUGGCUGACCACAUUCCUGGGAUGCCGGGCUGCAGGGCUGGGCGGCUGUGUCUACACCUGUCUGCCCCUGUCGGCUGUGAGCAAUGCAGCCAGGGACAGGGCAGCUAGAGCCAUGCUGUGGUCUGGCCAGUGGGCCAGGCACGUGAGCUGGUUCAUGCCCUGCUGCACCAACAACGUUCACCUGGAGAGGUCAGUGGCCUCAUUGAGGGGAAGAAGGGCUCUGUCCCUAGAGUCUAGCAAGCCUGGGCCAUGGUCUGUGGGGCUUGUCAGGGUGACUUCACCUCUGUGAGCCUCAGUUUCCCUCCCUGGAAAGUGGAGCAUAACAUGGGUGGGGUCCCCGGUGCUGGCCUGCAGAGCCCUGGGAGACGUGUGGAGUACAAGCCCCAUACGCUAGGCCAAAAGAUCCGCAGACCAGGCAGCUUAACUGAUAGAAAUGAAAGUCCAAGAUCAAGGUGUCAGCAGGGCAGGCUCCUUCUGAGGCUGCGGGGAAGGAACUGGCCCAGGUUUCUCUCCUUGGCUUGCAGGUGGCCCAUGCCUCUCCACAUCAGCUUCCCUCCCAUGCGGCCUCUGUGCCUGAACUUCCUCUUUUAGUAGGACUGCGGUCAUAUUGGAUUAGGGCCCACCCUAAUGGCCUCCUCAGAACUUGGUGACCACUGUAAAGGCCCUAUCUCCAAAUCAGGAAAUGUUCCGGGGUCCUGGGGGUUAAGACUUCAACACAAACAUCUUGUUGGAGGGGGGUUGCAAUUCAGUCCACACCCGCUUCCCUCGUCUCACUUCGUCCAGCACUCAGCACCCUCUGGCCCUGCCCUUAGCUGUGGGUCUGGAUUUCCCAUCUCUUCCACGGUAAGCCCUGUGAGGGCGGCGUCUUUAUCCCAUUUGCUGUUACACCUGCAAUUCCUGGGGUGCCGGCUUGUUCUCAUCAUUUAGCAGACCAUUGCUGAAUGGCUAACAAAUCCAGGAUACAAUUUGUAGGUGCACCAAGCCAGGCAAGGUAUCUGCGUCACCUGCCCGUCAGUGGCCCCAGGCUGGGAAGACCCCUUGGGUCAUGCUUGGACACUCUGCACCAUGGGCAGCCAGAACUCCUGGCCGAGUGGUCAGCGGCCGCCACACCUUGCUGGAGCAGAGGCACCCCUGCCAUCCCACAGGCAAGACGGACCUAGCUCGGUUUCCCAACACUCUGUUGAGAUGGGGCUGCCCAGAAGCCCACACAAGCCCACACCUGGGGGAAUCCCAGCCCCACGUUCUGGUUCAAGUCGCUGCUGGUUUGGGUUCAGAGCCCAAACAUGAGCUCCUGCUCUUCUUGGUGUGAUCUGAGGCUGUGGAUAUCCUGAGAACAUCUGUCUCAACAGAACACCUUCCUCCAUGUUGCCUAUAUCCCAAAUUCACUCCCAAGUGGCUUUUGUCUGGCAGAUUCCGGUGGAUUAUGCAAAGAGGGACUGCCAGAGAAUCUGAGCUGUUGGAAGACUUCUGAAACGUCACUGCGGUGGCGGAGGCACUGCCCCGGGGGGACAAAAGUCUUGUCUCUUCCUCCAAAUGUGGAGGAUCAAAUUAGAGUUGACUUGUGUGUUUCCAAACCCGUUGUCGUCCCAGCAUUCAACUAAUUUGAAGAUACCAAAAGCCUCAGAAGAGGGUGGCAGAAGAAGAAAGGGACAAACACAAAAGGGGAAGGACAAGAGGGCAGACCGUUAAAAAAAAAAAAAACCUACAAGAAUGCAGUUUGCUCCUGGGUGGACCCUCCCACCCCGUGCCUGCCCCGAGCUGGCCCCUGACCUGUGCCGGCAGCUCAAAUUCCUAACAUCUGGCCCAGGGUAAGGAUAUGGGCAACUCUUUAAGGAAGCGUGUCCUCGCUAGGUGCUGAUCACUCACUCCAAGGGACUUUGCUCCUGGAUGCCCAGGCUCAGAGAGGGCUGUGAGCCUCCCAUGGUCACACAGCAGCAGUCCAAGUGCCUGGGGCAGUCCGAUGCCCACAUCCCCCUUGAGGUCCCAGGUCUCAGGUGUCACCUCUUGAAAAUUCAAAGGAGGAUCCUUCGAAUUCAUGAACCAGCAACCUCCCAGGAGGUCUCAUAAUACUAUUCCAAAGGUCCCCGUCCCUAGUGUCACUGUGAAGAUCCUGAAGCUUGCACAUGCUCGAGGCAGAGUGAGAGGCAUGCCUUCUGUUCACCCGAGACCCACAGUCUGCUUUAGAUCCCAAGCAGGUGUUUACGGCAGUUCUCCCCGAAGGACCCCAACCAUUGCAUGGCAGUUCUCAUGGCUUGUUCCAUUUGGUGCAUCCGUAAGGAGACUCACCCCAGGGCUGGGCCAGGAAUUUCACCCUCCCACCUGCUUCCGACUUACAGAUGGGACCUGGCUGGGCCCUCACCGCUGUCUUACCCUGGCCAGGCGACUCAACUCAAAGGAAGCCACCUACGCUGUUCAACCUGGUUGGAAAUGGAAAGGACUUUGGAUGCCAUCCAGCCGAGGACUGCCACACCACUGAGAGACCCAGGACACAGAGACACACGGCAGGCCACUGGCAGGGUCCUGCCAAUGGGGUGGCUGACCAGAGCCAGGCCUGGCCAGUCCCAGCCCUCCUGCCAGCAAGGACGCAGAUCAAAGCAGUGCAUGGGCUGUUUGAUUUUCUUGUAAGGUCUUGCUGAGUGGAUAGUUUCACCCUGGGCUGCUCAGAUCUCGGCGACAGAAAGGGAGAAUGUGUCCUCUGUCCUCUCACGCCCUGUGUCUGUGCUCCUUGCAAAGGUUGUGAACACAUUCACGUGGAUUUAAUUAAUCGCCGCAGGUGCACGUCCACCUCUGCCUUUCCCUCUCAGUGGGUUCCCAUGUUUCCACAUGGUGGGUUGAGUGUCUGCACGCUAACUGGCUUAGACGUUUGGACGGUCUCCAUUGUCAGCAUCAUUUAUUCAUUCAACAAACAUCCACCGAGCAUUUCCUGACCGCCAGAUUCUCCUUUGGGUGCUGAGGGUGCAGCGGUGAACAAGUCACCAUCCUCAGGAGCUGACAUUCUGUAGUUCAGGGAGAUGAACAAUAAACCAAAUAAACAGGCAUCUUGAAGCAGACCAGCCACGUUGCAAGUGCUUGGAGGCCACGGAUGACUGGUGGCUGCUGUUCUGGGAGACAGAAUCCUAUAGCAUCCCCAGUCCUGCAGCACACAGGUGGGACAAUUCCAGCUUGAUGUCUCAGCCAGCGGGUUCCCACGUCCUCCCCGCCUCUCCCAGGCAGAAGACAGAGUGACCCAGGUAACCAGUGGGCAGCUUACACAGGGACAGAAACCACACUGACUGUCGUUCCUGCCACCUGACUAUUGUCCUGUGGCCCAGGGCUGCCCAGAGCCCCUUCCUGCCCAAGUGGCAGCUGGCCCGCUGGAUCUGCAGGAAAACAAGGCCAUAAAAAAGGAACUCCUACUAAUGAAACCUCCUAGAUUCCAAGGAGGAAAACGUAGCUCUCAGACCAAGUCCGUUUUCGCCCUUGCAUCUGAAAGGGAGUCCAGGGAAUUGCUAAUUUUGAACUUUCUAUACACCCUUCCUGCCUCUGGAUGUGGCCGCCUGACUCGAAUUCCUUUGCACAAUAAAAUGAGGGGGAAAAAAAUCACAUCACUUCAGCAAAACACAGGCUCGAUUUUUCUUGAUUAGCGGAAAAGUGUGUGCUAUUUAAAAAGACACGUCAUAUAACUUUUUAUUUUUUAGCAUUCCCAAGCAAAA